rnacentral:lncRNA from 1 species
AAUUAGAUGGCUGACGGCUCGUAUAAUAUUGAAACUUAUCUAAUGCUAAUAUAUAAAAUGGAACUAGAAACUAAGAAAGCAUAUAAAAGCAUGCUUCUGUGUUUUCGGUAAAAUUGUAGAAUAUUUAUCCCAAUUAACUUAACUUAUUGCGAUAUACACGGAACGCAAUAUAUUUACGAAAUAACGAUAUACGGAACGCAAUAUAUUUACGAAAUAAGCAUAAUAUUUUUUUAUCGUAUUUUGUUAUCAUAUGUAGUGCAAUCUCCUCGUAAUCCCAAACGAGUUCAGUUCAGAAUAUUUCGAAAUUGAAUGAGAGAGAGAGGGAGAGAGAGAGAGAGAGAGAGAGAGAGAGAGAGGGAACAAACCAGUAGUAUUGGG